GAGUUUGAUCCUGGCUCAGAGUGAACGCUGGCGGCGUGCCUAAUACAUGCAAGUCGAACGAUGAAAUUUCUAGCUUGCUAGAAAUGGAUUAGUGGCGCACGGGUGAGUAAUGCAUAGGUUAUGUGCCUCUUAGUUUGGGAUAGCCAUUGGAAACGAUGAUUAAUACCAGAUACUCCCUACGGGGGAAAGAUUUAUCGCUAAGAGAUCAGCCUAUGUCCUAUCAGCUUGUUGGUAAGGUAAUGGCUUACCAAGGCUAUGACGGGUAUCCGGCCUGAGAGGGUGAACGGACACACUGGAACUGAGACACGGUCCAGACUCCUACGGGAGGCAGCAGUAGGGAAUAUUGCUCAAUGGGGGAAACCCUGAAGCAGCAACGCCGCGUGGAGGAUGAAGGUUUUAGGAUUGUAAACUCCUUUUGUUAGAGAAGAUAAUGACGGUAUCUGACGAAUAAGCACCGGCUAACUCCGUGCCAGCAGCCGCGGUAAUACGGAGGGUGCAAGCGUUACUCGGAAUCACUGGGCGUAAAGAGCGCGUAGGCGGGAUAGUCAGUCAGGUGUGAAAUCCUAUGGCUUAACCAUAGAACUGCAUUUGAAACUACUAUUCUAGAGUGUGGGAGAGGUAGGUGGAAUUCUUGGUGUAGGGGUAAAAUCCGUAGAGAUCAAGAGGAAUACUCAUUGCGAAGGCGACCUGCUGGAACAUUACUGACGCUGAUUGCGCGAAAGCGUGGGGAGCAAACAGGAUUAGAUACCCUGGUAGUCCACGCCCUAAACGAUGGAUGCUAGUUGUUGGAGGGCUUAGUCUCUCCAGUAAUGCAGCUAACGCAUUAAGCAUCCCGCCUGGGGAGUACGGUCGCAAGAUUAAAACUCAAAGGAAUAGACGGGGACCCGCACAAGCGGUGGAGCAUGUGGUUUAAUUCGAAGAUACACGAAGAACCUUACCUAGGCUUGACAUUGAGAGAAUCCGCUAGAAAUAGUGGAGUGUCUAGCUUGCUAGACCUUGAAAACAGGUGCUGCACGGCUGUCGUCAGCUCGUGUCGUGAGAUGUUGGGUUAAGUCCCGCAACGAGCGCAACCCCCUUUCUUAGUUGCUAACAGGUCAUGCUGAGAACUCUAAGGAUACUGCCUCCGUAAGGAGGAGGAAGGUGGGGACGACGUCAAGUCAUCAUGGCCCUUACGCCUAGGGCUACACACGUGCUACAAUGGGGUGCACAAAGAGAAGCAAUACUGCGAAGUGGAGCCAAUCUUCAAAACACCUCUCAGUUCGGAUUGUAGGCUGCAACUCGCCUGCAUGAAGCUGGAAUCGCUAGUAAUCGCAAAUCAGCCAUGUUGCGGUGAAUACGUUCCCGGGUCUUGUACUCACCGCCCGUCACACCAUGGGAGUUGUGUUUGCCUUAAGUCAGGAUGCUAAACCAGCUACUGCCCACGGCACACACAGCGACUGGGGUGAAGUCGUAACAAGGUAACCGUAGGUGAACCUGCGGUUGGAUCACC
rnacentral:rRNA from 1 species